CCCCCCCAGCGCCGUUCUUCUUCUCUACUCAUCUCCACAUCCCUUUCGGCCUCUCGCCUCAUUUCUCUCGACCGAGAGCCACAAGGCUCACCUCAGCGCUGCCGAUAGGCCACCAACGGUGAUGGCCAAACCCUCAGACCAACAAAGGUUCGAACAAACUAGAGAACCUAAACAGAGGCUAAAACCACCACGGUCACCAUGGUCGUGGAUGCUAUGGGCUCCGAUGAGGGACCCGACGUCUUCUUCACAACUCACACCCCACAGACACCUAAACCGGACCAGGACUUCUUUCUCAGCCAACCCGAGGCCAAACGAAAGACAAACCUAAAGCCUCGGGUUUGGUUCCAAAUUUACAGGGCACGGGCGACAGCCACGAUUGGCGUGCUCGCAUGUCAUGGGCAGCAGUAGAGAACCGAGAUGUUCUGCUCGGGUUUGGUGCUGGCAUGAGCAGCUGCUCGGUUCUAGUGUUUCACGUGGGAGACAGCUGCUAGGGAGCUGUGCUGCACGUGGGAGGCAUGGGCAGCUGUGGAACCGAGCUUGGCUUGUUGGUGGAAACAUGUGCAAAGCUUGGGGAACCGAGUUGUUGGGGGUUUCACGUGGGCAACUAUGACGUGGAGCAGGGCCUUGCUGUAAACGGUUUGGGUCAGUGCUUGUCUUGAGCUGCUGCGUGUUGGAGCUUCACAUGAGUCGGGUUCAAUUUGUUGGGCCAGAUGUAACUGGGUCUUGUAAUUGUUGAUGGGCUUGAAUCUUGAACUUGCAUUUAAUUUGGCUUGUAAUUGGACUUCAAAGGUGUAA